AGCGAACGCUGGCGGCAGGCCUAAAACAUGCAAGUCGAACGAACCUUUCGGGGUUAGUGGCGGACGGGUGAGUAACACGUGGGAACGUGCCCCUUGGUUCGGAACAACUCAGGGAAACUUGAGCUAAUACCGGAUGUGCCCUUCGGGGGAAAGAUUUAUCGCCAUUGGAGCGGCCCGCGUCUGAUUAGCUAGUUGGUGGGGUAAAGGCCCACCAAGGCUACGAUCAGUAGCUGGUCUGAGAGGAUGAUCAGCCACACUGGGACUGAGACACGGCCCAGACUCCUACGGGAGGCAGCAGUUAGGAAUCUUGGGCAAUGGGCGGAAGCCUGACCCAGCCAUGCCGCGUGAAUGAUGAAGGUCUUAGGAUUGUAAAAUUCUUUCAGCGGGGACGAUAAUGACGGUACCCGCAGAAGAAGCCCCGGCUAACUUCGUGCCAGCCGCCGCCGUAAUAC
rnacentral:rRNA from 1 species